rnacentral:rRNA from 1 species
UACAGAGGUCUCAAGCGUUGUUCGGAUUCAUUGGGCGUAAAGGGUGCGUAGGCGGCGCGGUAAGUCGGGUGUGAAAUCUCGGAGCUUAACUCCGAAACUGCAUUCGAUACUGCCGUGCUUGAGGACUGGAGAGGAGACUGGAAUUUACGGUGUAGCGGUGAAAUGCGUAGAUAUCGUAAGGAAGACCAGUGGCGAAGGCGGGGUCUCUGGACAGUUCCUGACGCUGAGGCACGAAGGUCAGGGGAGCAAAACGGG